UACGUAGGGUGCAAGCGUUAAUCGGAAUUACUGGGCGUAAAGCGUGCGCAGGCGGUUAUGCAAGACAGAUGUGAAAUCCCCGGGCUUAACCUGGGAAUGGCAUUGGUGACUGCACGGCUAGAGUGUGUCAGAGGGGGGUAGAAUUCCACGUGUAGCAGUGAAAUGCGUAGAGAUGUGGAGGAAUACCGAUGGCGAAGGCAGGUCUCUGGGCCAAUACUGACGCUCAUGCACGAAAGCGUGGGGAGCAAACAGG
rnacentral:rRNA from 1 species